ACCAGUACAACUGCAGUGUAGAGCCUGGACGCUUGAGCUGGAGAGGGGCAAAGAAGUCUGACAGAAACUGCCGCUGUAUUCCUAAAAUUCUGAAAAUGAGAGAACACUAUCCAAAAGGGACCUGCAGCUUAGAGGAAGUUUGGCCCAUGGUGGGAAUUAAUUCACAAAUAAAGCUCCAAUCCAUAAAAGCUGAACACCUACUCCCUGAAGAGGACAAUUUGGAAGACAAGAUUCUGGUGCAGUUGUUGUGACACCCACAUCUGUGUUUGAAAGGCCUUCAAUGACAAUAGGAGAAGCUAGAGAAGAUUGAUAAACACUCUGCUCUCACCACAGCUCCAGCUACAUCUUCUGCUGGUGCUUUUGAUCUGCCUCCAACACCAGAUGUGGAUGGAAGUGACCCACAGAACAAGUUACAGGCUUUCACUGUGCAAACCUUGGUGCCCUGUAACUAUAUAGAUCAGACUGCCAUCAAACUUAAAAAGAUCUGCAUGACUCUACCUUUCAAGUGCUGAGAUUAAAG